rnacentral:rRNA from 1 species
CCUACGGGAGGCAGCAGUAGGGAAUCUUCGGCAAUGGGCGAAAGCCUGACCGAGCAACGCCGCGUGAAUGAAGAAGGCCUUCGGGUUGUAAAAUUCUGUUAUAAGGGAAGAAAGGUGAUAGGAGGAAAUGACUAUCAAUUGACGGUACCUUAUGAGAAAGCCACGGCUAACUACGUGCCAGCAGCCGCGGUAAUACGUAGGUGGCAAGCGUUAUCCGGAAUUAUUGGGCGUAAAGAGCGCGCAGGUGGUUAAUUAAGUCUGAUGUGAAAGCCCACGGCUUAACCGUGGAGGGUCAUUGGAAACUGGUUGACUUGAGUGCAGAAGAGGGAAGUGGAAUUCCAUGUGUAGCGGUGAAAUGCGUAGAGAUAUGGAGGAACACCAGUGGCGAAGGCGGCUUCCUGGUCUGCAACUGACACUGAGGCGCGAAAGCGUGGGGAGC